UGCAUAUAAAAGUCUGUGUCAACGCAGUGUGAAGCCAAACAAUGACUCAAAGCAGUAGCUACGAUGCAAGGCAGCUAGCAGUGAGCGGCAAAGCAAUGCAGCUUUUAGUGGUUAGCAGCAAAGCGGCUAGUGGUGAAGCAAAGCGGCUAGCGGUGAUGCAAAGCAGCAAAGCAAAGCAGUAGUGAUUUCUUGCAGGUUAGUGGUUGCUAUGCUGCUACACAGGUGUCUUUACCCUACAAUAAAAGAACAGAUAUUAGCAACUUACGAGUGGCUGGAGGAGGAAGCUAAAGUCACUGUGCUACAUACCGGUCAGGCAAUCAUGGUCGGCACAGCGUGGAGCAACGCGACCUGCUGCACAUCAACUGGCAGUGGACAGUGAGCGGCACACAACCAGCAGUGAGCAAUGUGCAGCCAGCAGCAACACCCAAGCGAGCAAUUGAAAUAAUAUAACCAGAAUGAAAAAACUAGAGGGACAGCGUGAGACCAGACUGUAGUCGCCGCCGCCAGGCUACGUGAAGGGCGCCAGGAGGUGACAUGGCCCCGGGUCCAUCUGGCAAGAGGACAACCAGGUGCCUUCUGCCUCCCUUUAUAAGGGUAGGAGUGAUGCCUGGGUGCAGGAGGCAGGAAAAUGAUGCAAAAAGUACGCCUGACAUCUCAGUGUGGAUGGUGGACAAGACUACUGACUUAUCCACAAUGCUGAUUGUAUUUGCACCGAUAGAUUCUAUGUCCAUGUAUGAAGAUCCAACCAGAGUGAGAAAGCUGCAGUGUUUUGGAACUGUGCCUAAUACUGCAAGGAAGUGCAAGAGACAGAGUAGUGACAAGAUCAACUAAAGAAGCAAGAUAUGUCAUCAUCAAAGGGUUGCUCGGUUCAAGCAGGCUGUUACCCUUUCGUUAAAAUAACUGUCAGUUUCAGAUCCCAGCAAAUAAAUCUUUCCAAAGCUGA